GUAACGAUUUCAGGGGUGGCACAAUCGCACAAAUAUUGUUGCAGGUCUAGCAGUGAUGUAAAAACGUAGUCCCUCCGAUCCAUAGUAUCCACUGGGUGAAUUAUCCAACUACAGUUUUUAUGGUCUAAAGUUUUCAAGAUACUGAAUGCAUUUAACUUUCUACUGGUCGAGUUGUCAAAGGUUGAAUGUUUUUAAUGUUGGGCAUCCCAUGGCAGGAUAUGAAUGGAGAAUAUUCUCGCUAACCAGUUGUCACAGCCAGGGACGUGUUUCAAAGGGAUGGUGUGUAGUGAAUAAGAGUUUAGCACACUAAGGUGUGCUUAUCAGUUUGGGAUAAAAAACAACUAUGAUUGGAAAACAGUUGUCUGGUGGUUCCAUCGUGCUUGCAGUUUCUCGAUUGCCUCUUUAUCUUGAGAAACUGAAAUAUGAGGCUUGCACUCUCUACUUAGUCAUUAUUCUGUUCCAGGGUCUUGAUUCUGAUCUCAUGUAUGAGCUACCUGAAAUAUUAUUUGGUUGAUAUCAGCCUAUGCAGGUUAUCAAAUCAGAGAGUAUAUGUACCCAGGAGCAAAAACACCAUGUCCCUAAGCUUCAUAUUUUUGGUCCAUGAAACAACACAUUCUGGUUAUAUAUGAGUGUUGUUGCUCGGUUAUGUCGGUUUGGCUGUUGCGGCUGCUGACUUCCAGGGCAGGUUAGCUUUCUCCACCUCCGCACUAGGACACAUAUUGGUAAUGCGUGAUACAUCUGUAAAUUAGGAUAUCAAAUCGAUGCUCCUACUAUAAUCAUUUUCUUUGCCUUUGUGUUGUCACUUGGCCCUGUCAACUUCCAGAGUUUGAGCACGUCUAGGACUGGCUCUAACCCUGCCUUGAAUGACACUGGUUGAGGAGGUUGUCCGGUUUGUUUGUUUGAUUUUUUUAUGGCUUUGGAUGUGAUAUUUUUCUCGUUCCGACUAAUAUGAAUAUCUUCCCAUAGUUAUGCAUGCUUAUUAUUCUUUCCUCUUUCUACUCAUUCUGAUCCAGUCAAACUGUCUCUGGGGAUGAAGCUCCAUUUAAUUUUGCUGUUGUCAUGUCAUCAGGUGAGCCUACGUGCUUAUUCGCAUUAAAUUUGUAUAUAGCAGAUUUCGUUGUAUCCAAUACUGAAACUUAAGUAUAUUAUUCUACAAUGAAUCAGAAGUAUGUCUCACUCAUGUGAGGCUUAUACAUCAGGGAUAUUCCUAUACAAUUACAUUCAAGCCAGUACUAACUUUUGCUACUCUACAGCUCAAAAAAAAACUUCUGCUACUCUAGGCGUUUAUAAAUAUUGAUGACAGUGAUUCCUAUGCUCAGAUUAUCCAAUGAUUAUGUUUUAAGUUGUGUGAUGUGAUUGUUGUCGAUGCAAAGAUCAAACAAAUGCUCAUGCCGGCCAAAAAUAAGGGAAGAUUAUCCUCCAUGUCUGAGAGGUAAAAGAUGGGUCUGCAUUGAUCUGUUUGUAUCAUUAUCCUAAUUUAAUAUUGUCAAAUUCAGUUAUUUCACAUUGCGGUGAUCGGCUUGAACAUACUAUUAUUUUAAUCAGCUGAUGGGUCAGACUGUAUAAUGAAAUAUGAUUUCACUGGAAGCAUCUAUGAUAUGUUUGCUGAUGCUGGUCAUUUUCAAGCUGCGACCAUGUGUUGUUAUAAUAUGUUAAGAGUCGCGGCGAAAUUUUGUAAGCUUGUGCAAUUUUCUUAGUAAUCAGUAUGGUUCAGAGGCAUUGUCAUAUAGGUUUUAUUUCAUUUUCGUUGUCAAUUUUCUUAGUAAUCAGUAUGAUCUCACUAGAAGGCAAUUUUAGUAAACUUUCAUUGUCUUCUUUUUGUUCCGUGCUCCUAGCAAAUGGCCUCCAAU